UACGGGGGGGGCAAGCGUUGUUCGGAAUUACUGGGCGUAAAGGGCUCGUAGGUGGCCAACUAAGUCGGACGUGAAAUCCCUCGGCUUAACCGGGGAACUGCGUCCGAUACUGGAUGGCUUGAGUUUGGGAGAGGGAUGCGGAAUUCCAGGUGUAGCGGUGAAAUGCGUAGAUAUCUGGAGGAACACCGGUGGCGAAGGCGGCAUCCUGGACCGGUAUUGACACUGAGGCGCGAAAGCCAGGGGAGCAAACGGG
rnacentral:rRNA from 1 species